UACGGGGGGGGCAAGCGUUGUUCGGAAUUACUGGGCGUAAAGGGCUCGUAGGCGGCCAACUAAGUCAGACGUGAAAUCCCUCGGCUUAACCGGGGAACUGCGUCUGAUACUGGAUGGCUUGAGGUUGGGAGAGGGAUGCGGAAUUCCAGGUGUAGCGGUGAAAUGCGUAGAUAUCUGGAGGAACACCGGUGGCGAAGGCGGCAUCCUGGACCAAUUCUGACGCUGAGUGAGCGAAAGCCAGGGGAGCAAACAGG
rnacentral:rRNA from 1 species